AUGUCCCCGCAGGACACCUCCGGGACCCCAGGGACCACCGGGAACACCCGGGUCGGCGUGGGGGUCCCCCUCGAGCAGGAGGAGGAGGCCGGCAUCUGGGCCUGGCCCCUGCAUCUUGUCCCGGCCGAGCUCCAGUCGCAGGGUCCCCGGGAGGAGGGCCUGUGCCAGAUGCUGGAGGGGGGCCGCCCGCCUCUCCCAGCAGGAGAGCUUCUGCAGGUGCCGCUAACGGUCCCUCAGGUCACCUCCACCGAGGACGCUGCUCAGAGCAAGGCCCGGGCCCGAGGCCGCUGCAGGAGCCCCAGCGCGGGAGGCGGUGAGGUCCAGCCAGACCGGCCUCCCGGGGAGCACGCUGUUGACCUGGUGCCCCGCGGGCUGAGCUGGAGGGGCUCCCGGAAAAGAGGGCAGAAGGCGCGGCCAGCCCAUCCUGCAGCCAAAGGCCUGAGGCACGUACAGCAGGAGCUCCGCCUGCACCGGGGUGGGGAUAUCAAGGCCACGGAUGGAGCCACGGAGAGGAGGAGGGAAGAGGUGGAAGACAGAGGUCUGGAAGGGAGGUCACCCCGGCAGGGCUGGAAACACAGGGGCGGCAGAGCUCGGUGGGGCCGCUUGGCCUUCGAGGACCGUGAUGGGCUGGGGGCCGGGAGCCUCAGGGCUUCGCUCGGCCAGACGCGCUGCAGGCAUAGGGCUGGGCUGGGGCUGAGGACGAGGCCAGGAUGGACAGCUUCCGCCACGGCCCCGGAAGUCUACGCUCUGUCUCCCAGCUGUGGGGACACACCUAGUGCCACAGUGGUCGUGGGCUGCCUGGUCUCGCGCUACAUCCCUGAGCCAGUGACCGUGACCUGGAACUCGGGCAUCCUACCCAGCAGCGUGCACACCUUCCCAUCCGUCCGAGGGUCCUCGGGGCUGUACUCUCUCAGCAGCACUGUGACCGUGCCUGCCAGCACCUCGUCCGGCAAGACCUUCACCUGCAACGUAGCCCACCCGGCCAGCAGCACCAAGGUGGACAAGCGCAUUGAAAUCAACGGCCCAAACCCCUGUUCCAGGUGUCCCAAAUGUCCACCCUGUCAGCUCCCAGGAGGACCGUCCGUCUUCAUCUUCCCCCCGAAACCCAGGGACAUCCUCACAAUGUCCCGAAAACCGGAAGUCUCCUGCAUGGUGGUGGAUGUGAGCAAGGAGGACACUGAUGUCCAGUUCUCCUGGUAUGUGGACGAUGUAGAGGUGCGCACGGCCAAGACGAAGCCAAGGGAGCAGCAGUUCAACAGCACCUACCGUGUGGUCAGCGCCCUGCCCAUCCAGCACCAGGACUGGCUGAAGGGAAAGGAGUUCAAGUGCAAGGUCAACAACAAAGGCCUCCCGGCCCCCAUCGUGAGGACCAUCUCCAAGGCCAAAGGGCAGCCCCGGGAGCCGCAGGUGUACGUACUGGGCCCAGCACAGGAAGAGCUGGCCAAGAGCUCGGUCAGCGUCAGCAUAACCUGCAUGGUCACCGACUUCUACCCGAGCGACAUCGACGUGGAGUGGCAGAGAAACGGGCAGCCGGAGCCAGAGGGCAACUAUGGCACGACCCCACCCCAGCUGGAGGCCGACGGGUCCUUCUUCCUGUACAGCAAGCUCAGGGUGGACAAGAAGAGCUGGCAGCGGGGAGACACCUACACGUGUGUAGUGUUGCACGAGGCCCUACGCAAUCACAACACGCAGAAGUCCAUCACCCAGUCUUCGGGUAAAUGAGCCCCACGGCGUUGUUGCCCCAGCGAGCCCUCCCUCCCCUUGGGCUCUCAGGGUCCAGCGAGGACGCCUGAGCCCCAGCCCUGUGUACAUGCCUCCCGGGCGCCAUGAAUAAAGCGCCCAGCGCCGCCCUGGG